AUAAUAAUGAAAUAAUAACAGUCACUUAUAAUCAUGCUGUUUACAAAUUAGGAAUAUUUAAGAUACAUGUAAUAUAUGUAUUUUCUAAUUUCAGUAUUGAAUCUAAAGGUUAUAUAUUUUUGUACUUUAAAUAAUCAAAAUCCUUUCACAACUAGUCUAGACUAAAUGGAUUAAAACUCAGCUUAGAAAAAGAAGGUGAUCACAGGUUUAAGGUGGUACCUAACACUACAGGGAGAUAACUCUGUAAAAUCAGCUAAACGUUUCAAUUAAGUUAUGUUGUUAGGGAAAUCUUAAGCUUCUAAAUGAUCAAAAUUAGUAUUGUCAAACUGCUAUAUAACCAGUGUAUUUUUUCUGAAAAAAAACGGUUGGUUCAAAUUAUUUGAAAUUUUUAUAUUUUUGUCAAAGGGACAAAGUAUAAUGUCAAAAUUUUAUGAAAUUUAAACGAGCCAAAUUAAUUUCAGUGAAAGUGUUGGGUACCACCUUGUCAAAAUUUUAUGAAAUUUAAACGAGUCAAAUUAAUUUCAGUGAAAGUGUUGGGUACCACCUUAAAACCGUAGUGUGACCAUCAAUGUUUGUGUAUGUGUUUGUUAGUGUGAUUGAUUUGUACCAGAAUUGACUUUUAUUUGUUUUUUCAAAAUGCAUAGGUACCAACAAACAAUGAGGUAAAAGACCUUUACUGAAUAUCUUUUAACUUUCUGAUAUAUGGUAAUGAAUUAUCUCCCCUAUAAAGGAAACAGCAGUACUAUUAAGCGUUUAAAAGUUGAAUUGUCUCCAACUGUCUUGGAAUACAAAUGGAAUAGACUUAUGACAUCAUGUAUUGUACAAUAAUCAAAUUUCAAAUACAUGUAUGUCAAAUUGUUUUAAAUUUUGUGAGAACUUGUGUGGUUUUCAACUAUGGCUGAAAAUUUUGCUGACAUGUAAAUAUAUAUAUAUCUAUUUUGCAGUCUUUAGAACUUCUGUCUUGGUUGUGUAUGUUAAAGAGUAGUAGCAGAACCAAUGUUUUGAAAUGGUGUUUUUUAACAUCAAUCAACUGUUGAAAGAGAGAUUUUCUUUUCUGUUGUUUUGAAAUUUGACCUUGAUUCUUUUUUAUGCCUUAUUUAUGUGCAUUAUGUUUUCUGGUCUGUGCGUCCCUUCGUUCGGUCGUCCUUCCGUCUGUCCUGCUUCAGGUUAAAGUUUUUGGUUGAGGUAGUUUUUGAUGAAGUUGAAGUCAAUUCAACCUUAAACUUGGUACACAUGUUCCCUAUGAUAUGGUCUUUCUAAUUUUAAUGCCAAAUUAGAGAUUCCCCCCUAUUUUCACGGUCCACUGAACAUAGAAAUGAUAGUGCAGAUUGGGCAUCUGUGUACUGGGGACACAUUCUUGUUUUAAACAUUCUUUUGUUUUGAAAUUGUUUUUUUUCAAAUAUGAUUCUUUUUAUGCCCCACCUACGAUAGUAGAGGGGCAUUAUGUUUUCUGGUCUGUGCGUCCUUCCGUCUGUUCGUUCUUUGUCUGUUCGUCUGUCUGUUCGUCCAUUCGUCCCACUUCAGGUUAAAGUUUUUGGUCAAGGUAGUUUUUGAUGAAGCUGAAGUCAAAUCAACUUGAAACUUAGUACACUAGUUGCUUAUGAUAUGAUCUUUCUAAUUUUAAAGCCAAAUUAGACUUUUGACCCCAAUUUCAUGGUCCACUUAACAUAGAAAAUGAAAGUGGGAGUUUCAGGUUAAAGUUUUUGGUCAAGGUAGUUUUUGAUGAAGUUGAAGUCCAAUCAACUUGAAACCUAUGAUAUGAUCUUUCAAAUUUAAUGCCAUAUUAAUUUUUUUACCCAAUUUCAUGGUCCAAUGAACAUGGAAAAUGAUAGUGCGAGUAGGGCAUCCGUGUACUUUGGACACAUUCUUGUUUUAGAAUUAUAUUAUCAUGUAUGUCAUGCAUACGUACAUGGUAUGAAAAUUUCAAUAUUAUAGAAAAUUAUUUUUGGUAGAACUUUUGAGAAAAUGAUGUACAGAUUAUAUUUUUUUAAGGAAUGUAUAUACAAUUUAUAUUUAUAUAUAUAUUAGUCAUGUUAGUAUUACUGAAAACAAAUCAUGGGCAUUAUAGACUGACUUCAUUUUUUUACACCCAAAUCAUGUAUUUAAAGUAUUAUUUAAUUUUCUUGCAAAUGGUUAUUCAAUUUAUUUUUAAGUUAAAUUACAUUUUUGAGGUAUUAAAACCAAUAUUGACAAGAUGAAACAGCUGACUUUGUGUGAUUUUUACUUUAUUACCGUAAAUUCAGAGGUUUAUAUUUCUGUGAAUAAUGCAACUAGGUGAUUAUCUAAAUUAUAAAAACUUGGAUUCUGAAAUCUGAUAAAUACAGCUGUACAUAUACAGAUUUUUUCUAAUAACAAAUCUCUCUUUUUUGACAAUUCUUCAAAACUGUCAAUAAUAAAUGCACACAAUACUUUCUGAAUUUACAGUAUAUGGGUUGAUUAAAAAAUGAAAGAAUUCAUGGUACGUUUAUUAGGUUAUCAAUAUAAUAAAUUCUUUUUUUUUGUUCCAUUAUUUAUCAUGUUAAUUGUUAUUUUCAAUUUAACUAAAAUAUUUUUCAAUUCAUGCAAUUGUUGGCAGC
rnacentral:lncRNA from 1 species